UAUUAGACACACUAUCUGAUACGAGUGAUGGUGCACUGAAAGACUGAGUAUAUGGAUGGUGAGAAUCCAUACCUCCGUUGAGACGGCUCUGGUGUCAGGACCAUCAGAAAUGGAUGACAGGUUUUUCUUUCCACUGCAUCUAAAAUGUACAGUUGGCCUGGAGAGAGGGAGGAAGGAAUAGCCUCUUUUGUCCAGAUGUAUGGAGGGCCCCGCAUACUUCUCUGGCUGAAGGAUCUGUGUGUUGAGGGAAAAAGACUAAGCCAUUUUCUGGGUUCAUUCAGUACCUAUAUGUAAUGACCUAAUUGUAGGCACUACAGGAAAGGAAAUUCAGACUGUCGUCUACUGUUAGAAUGAUGAAAAUACCUGGAACCUUCUCUGAUUCUUAUUCCCCCUCCUAUGAUACCCAUUACCAGCACAUAUUCAAAUGCUUUUCAUAUUUACAUAGAACAGCUAUGAUGCUUCACCCGGAUCAAUGUACAUCUCAUCGGGGAGGAAGACACAUAUGGGAUUCAUUUUCUGAAGCCUCAAAUCUAAGGAUUUACCUAAGGACCCAGGGAUGUCCUGAGCUCCCAUUCAUCUUUUGGGCUCUGUGGCUUCCUUAACGCAGCUGAUGAAUGGACAUUUCAGGGUCCAUUCAGCUUAAGACUCAGAAUCGAGAAAGGCUCAACAAACCAGUAUGUUUUACUCAUAUAUGUUCUCCUAAUCUGUGUUAAUGAAACUAUAUCUUUACUUGGAAACCUGCCUUACUUCAAGAUUCAUGUCAAUUGUUUUAUGGCCCUGGAUGACUCACCAUGUGCCAAUGUUACCUCGAAAUGUAUGUUGUGGGUGAGGGGCCUGGUGCCACUCUGAGUUUUAAGACACCUUCUUUCUCUAAUUAACAGCUUGCAGAUAGGUAUAUAACAUACUGCUAAAAGCUAGCAGGGGAACACUCUUUCUGCCCUCUUCUGAUGUCUAUGUCCGCUUUCUCUAUCUCUUUUAUACUUUAAUAAAACUUUAUUACACAAAAGCUCUGAGCAAUCAAGCCUCAUCACUGGCCCUGGAUUGAAUUCCUCUCCUCCGGAUGCCAAGAAUCCCGGUGUCUUUCACAACGCAGCAACAACCUUUCAGGAGCAAGAUCUCAACUUGGAAAAAUUUAGCCUUAUUACUAUUUUGGGAUCUGACAGCUGUCUCUGAACUUUUAAUAGAGAAGUUCUAUUCAUUUUUUCAAAUGAGCUUUUCCAAAAUGUUUCUUUGAAGUGCUAAGAAUACACUUCUCAUAUGUAAGUUUGUUAUGUAAAGCUGAUAUAUUGGAUUUUUUCUGUCAAUUAUUUUUGGUUAUUCUGACACUUUUGUAUCCUAAUUCCUUCAAAGUUAUCUUUUGUAUCAGGAGA